UUUUUAUCAUAUUUGACAGAGGUUGCCUAUAAUUUACUAAUAGUGUGACAGAGGGAGUAGGAAUAUAUGAACAUUAAAUCAGUUUUAAGUACAGGUGUUGAGAGUGUGAGUGAAUAGUUAAGGGACUCAGAUGAGAAAACUGACACUAUAGAUGAUGGGGAAAUUUGGUAGACCUUCUGCUCAACGAGCAUCUGUCCUGGAGUGAGACUGACAGGAGAGAUAUGACUGUUUUUCACUGAGCCAAUCUCAGCUACCUUGUAGUCCCAUGGGGUGAUCCUCUUGCUUCGUUCCCUGAUUCUAGUGUUUAAAGAUCAAUCAUUAUUUGUAACGUGAUCAUAAAUAUAAGUUAACUUCAUGAUCUUGUGCCCAAAUGAAGAAAUAGCAACUCUGUUUCAAAGCUGGUGGAAAACUAGCUCUUAAUAAACUGAGAAACCAAAUUAUCUGAAUACUAUAACUUAUGAAUGAUUUAAAAGAAUUUCAAGGAUGGUCUGACUUUCAAACCUAUUCUCUGCUUAAGGUAUAUUGUCAUUUUAGAUCAAAGACAGACUCUACAUUAUAAGAUUCUCCUAUAUUGUAUGGUAAAAUUUGUGUGAACAUAAUGUAUUUUAUCAUAGGAGCUUGCUAUAGCUUAAUUAGCCUACCCAUAAACUAACAUGAAUCCACAUGAUAAUAGCAUUCAUUUUCUUUUGAUGACUUCCAGGUUAUUAAAUGCAAGGCACUCGUGAUGUGGGAACCAAACAUGCCCAUUUCUAUUGAAGAGGUUCAGGGGUACAUGUGCAGAUUUGUUAUAAAGGCAAAUUGCAUGUCACAGCGGUUUGGUGUACAUAUUAUUUCAUCACCCAGCAUUCCAGAGAGAAUUUUUGAUGAAUGAUUGCAUCGUUCUCUCCAGGAGACAAAGUCAUCCCUUAGUAUGGAAAAUCUGACCCUUGUUUGUUCCCUAAAGGAAAUACAUGCAAUAAAUUCAAGUAGGUCUCUUUAAUUACCGACUAA
rnacentral:lncRNA from 13 species